rnacentral:rRNA from 1 species
AGGACGAACGCUGGCGGCGCGCCUCAUACAUGCAAGUCGAGCGAGAAAUCCGGGGCUUGCCCCGGGUGGAGAGCGGCGAACGGGUGAGGAACACGUGAGGAACCUGCCUCGAAGACCGGGAUAACACCGGGAAACCGGUGCUAAUACCGGAUGCCCUCACCGGAUCACAAGAUGCGGUGAGGAAAUGGAUUCCGCUUCGGGAUGGUCUCGCGGCCUAUCAGCUAGUUGGUGGGGUAACGCCCACCAAGGCUUCGACGGGUAGCUGGUCUGAGAGGAUGUCCAGCCACACUGGGACUGAGACACGGCCCAGACUCCUACGGGAGGCAGCAGUAGGGAAUCUUGCGCAAUGGGCGAAAGCCUGACGCAGCGACGCCGCGUGCGGGAUGAAGGCCUUCGGGUUGUAAACCGCUUUCAGCAGGGACGAAAUUGACGGUACCUGCAGAAGAGGCCCGCAACUACGCGCCAGCAGCCGCGUAA